AGGUGACAGUUGGAGCUUGUAACAUACCGGAACCUAAUUCUUGGAAAGUUGUUGAGCAUACCAAAUGGAAGAGCUGGAGCGGGCUUGGAAACACGUCUCCCACAGAAGCUAUGCGUCUCUUUGUGAAAAUAUUGGAGGAAGAUGAUCCAAGUUGGUAUUCAAGAGCUUCUAACUUUGUUGCAGAGCCUGUAGUAGAUGUGCAAAUGAAUGUGAGUAUCAUGGAACUUGUUUAUAUUGUGUAGUUCCUUCUUCUUCUUCCUCUAUUUUUGAUUGACUUAAUCAAUGUCAGUUAAGAAUUUCAUCUUCAUAUUUUGUCAUAAUAGAUAACUGUACAGAACAAUGUGAAAAAAAUCUCUGCCGAUAACCAUAUAACCACUCUGAUAUCUGCUCCACCAUUACCAUUUAUGCUUCAUCACUACCAUUGCUGUUACCCAUCACUAUUACUUCUAUUCUGCUGCUGUUGCUGGCACUGUAUUAUGGCAAAUACACCAUCUUUUUUACAUUGAUGCUACUAGCAAGGCACCAUAAAUUUACAAAAAAGCAUUGCGACCAAAGUGACGAUGUCUCACUUAAGCCUCCAUUAUCAUACCACUGUCACUAUACCACUGCCUAUCCAAUCACUGCUGUUGCACUGGCAUUCCCUGAUUUCG